AUGCUCGAGGACAACAUCAGUGAUGUCGGGAAGGAGGAGAGGCUUGAGGCGGGCAUGCACAUGUGCGCUGGCAUCUCAAGGUGGAGGAGCGCUCAGGUGAUCACCCCGUCGUACGUGGUGGGGUUCAUGCAGGAGAGGGAUCUUGCCGUGGUAAGCUUUGUUCGGGAGAAGCUGUUGUCUGGGGUGCUCACCAAGACAUUCCUCAUGAUGAUGGACUACAACUGCGUUUUGCCAACAUGUACAAGAUUGGGUUACUGUAAUUUUGCUUACAUUGGCUGGGAGAAUGACAUGAUGAGCAAUCUUCUGUUGGGUGAUUCACCUGAAACGCCAAAAAGAGAUGAGUCUUUUGCCGAGCCUUGUGUUGUGAGUAUCCCAGGCCGAAUGAUGCUUGAUCUCCUUUUAGAGGAGCUUGAGUUGCCGGCAGCCCGUUACGGUCGAAGGGACUAUUUAAAUAACACCAUGAGUUUCACCAUCAUGUUCUGGACCUCUGUUCCAAGGGAAGAAUGGUGUGUAGCAUCAGAUCUACACCUUGCAGAAAACAACUCAAGGAGUAAUGCUAAAAUAUUUGUCACUUCUGGUUCAGUCCAGGGCGCACAUGUCGAUGUUCGGCAGGGUAUCGACAUCUGCGGUUUCACCAUCUCUGCACCAUCCCGAGGUCUUGCAUCUGCUUCUCCUUCUCGGCAGAAGAUGGUAGUCGGUCAAAUAUCUGUAGCCCCUAUGUGUGGUUGUUCAGCAGGGUAUCGCCAACAACGAUUUCCCCAUCUCUGCAUCAUCUUGAGAGGAAUCAGGAUCUGGUUCCUGGACCAUUUGCUAUGUACUGAAUGUCGAUCCGACAGCAUCGCUGUUGGGUGCGGCAAGCCGCACUUCCUACCUAGUAAAGAACAAAGUGGCUGGGCUGGUCCAGUGACCGGGAUGAAGACGAGCUAG
rnacentral:rRNA from 1 species